rnacentral:lncRNA from 1 species
UUCACCAGUUUGCCUCAAUUUCCUCUUCUGUAAAAUUAAGAUUAUAAUAGCACCUGCCUCACUGAACUGUCUUGAAGAUAAAAAGGUAUAUAUAUAUAUGCAUAUAUAUAUAUAAAACACACAUAUAUAUGUCAUGAAGUGCUAUAUUUAUGCUAACCAUUAUUAAGUGGAUGGGAAGAAAAUGAAGAGGAAGAGAAGAAAUAACUAAAGCAGGGGUGUGGGCAAGCUCCCAGAGGAGAUUGGAGGGGAAAAAAAUCAAGAAUAUAAGUGAAGAAGUCAGCUUUGGCAAGGAAUAGGCCCACCUCUGCAUCAGAAAGGAAUGCCAAGGAGAGAAGAAAAGAAAAAUGAAGAGGGCUUUUUAGAUGUGGAGUGGGGGAGAAGCAGGAUCUCAUCUCCUGAUGGAUGGCCUCUAUUUUCUCAGGAAAGUAGGAAGCAAACUCAUCUGCUGAAAGAGAAGGGAGGUGGUGGUGUAGGAGGUAUAGGGAGAAGGAAGAUUUGAAACACCUGCUGCAGAGAGUGUGAUUAAGAGUCCACUGGUGAAGAAUAAAAGGAUUGCAUCCCUGCAGUGAGGACCCAAUUGAGAUCAGAAAAUGUACAUUUUCAAGUAGACCUGUCUGGAAUGGUUGUAGGCUUUCUCCUGGAAUAUUCAGCAACAAAGGCAGACAAAAGGAGCAACCCAGGGCUAUGGCUUAGCAAUGUGUGCCUAAAGGCAAGAGAGGCAGAGGAUUCAAGGAUCUCUGAUAAGGGAAGAACAAAUUGUUUAAAACUAUUAAGGGAAGGAAAAGAAAGAAGAGGAAGGAAGGAAGGAAGGAAGGAAGGAAGGAAGGAAGGAAGGAAGGAAGGAAGGAAGGAAGGAAGGAAGGAAGGAAGGAAGGAAGGAAGGAAGGAAGGAAGGAAGGAAGGAAGGAAGGAAGGAAGGAAGGAAGGAAGGAAGGAAGGAAGGAAGGGAAAGGAAGGAAGGGAAAGGAAGGGAAAGGAAGGAAGGGAAAGGAAGGAAGGGAAAGGAAGGGAAAGGAAGGGAAAGGAAGGAAAGAAGGGAAAGGAAGGAAGGGAAAGGAAGAAAGGAAGGAAGGGAAAGGAAGAAAGAUAA